rnacentral:rRNA from 1 species
UUAUUUUAAGUAAAAAUUUCAGGUUUAUUAUAAAACUUUUAGCUAAAUUGUAAAUUUUGUUUUAAAAUUGAUUUUUUCCUAUUCUAGAUUGUUAAUUUAGCUUAAACCAUUCCACAAUUAGGUCCUCUUCAUUGAUUUUUCCUGUAUUUAUAUUUUAUAUUUUUGAUAGGAGUUUAUUUUGUAAAACUUUAUUUUUUAAAGUAAGUAUCUAUUUUUAAUGAAACUUGUAGCAUAAAGAACCAUUUUUAAGCCUUUUGCAUUAGGAAAAAUCUAUUUUUUAAUAAAUUAGAUAUCUCGAAUUUUUAAGUCUUCUCUAGGAAAGAAAGAAAUCUUUAAUUUUAUCUUAAAUUUCUAGAAUAAAAAGAUAUUUACUAUUUAAAAAUUUUUAGUUCGAUAAUUUAUUUACUAUUUUAGAGUAAUUUUAAAAUAUAAAUUUAAUUUUUUUUGAAAAAUGAUUUUGAAGGAAUAGUAAUCUCCAAAAAUAUAAUUUUUAUUUUAAAUAUAAUUUUUUAAAUAAAUUUUCUUAACAGUACUCUAAUACUGAUUUUAUUAGUAGAUAAUAAAUUAUAUAAAAAAAAUUUAAAUAGAUUUAAUAAUUUUGCUUCCAAUUCUCGCUAUUAGUUUUGUAGCUAACGGAUCUGUUUAAUAAAAACAUUGUAUUUAAAAAUAUACUGUUUGCCCAGUGCGCAUUGUAAACGGCCUCAGUGCUAAGGUAGCAUAAUAAUUUGAGGUUUAAUUGAUUUUCUGGAUGAAAAACUUUAUCAGUUAGCUUUUAAAAAGCAAGACUUUUGAACUUUUAAUUUUUGUGCAAUUACAAAAAUAUAAUUUUUAGACGAGAAGACCCUAAAAUCUUAUUAUAGUUAGCUGGGGAAGUUACAUAUAAAAACAAUAUAAAAAAUUCUAUUACCCAUUUAUGAUACUAAAGAUACUUUAGGGAUAACAGCGUUAAAAUAUAAUAGAUCGUAUAUUGAUAUUUUAUAGCGACCUCGAUGUUGAAUUAAGAAAUCUUAUUCUAGAAUAAGAGAAUAAAGAAAGUCUGUUCGACUUAUAAUUUCUUACAUGAUUUGAGUUAAGAUCGACGUAAGUCAGAUUGGUUUCUAUCUAAGAUUUUUUUGAUAACUUUUAGUACGAAAGGAAUAAAGUUAUUUUU